rnacentral:tRNA from 1 species
GAGAAGGUUUAGAAAAAUAGAAACUGCUAAUUAUCUAUAUCUGUGGUUAAAUUCCACAGCCUACUUAA